rnacentral:piRNA from 1 species
CGACACGGGAGCUGGCC